AUUCAACCUCAAUUCCUUCGGGUCAUCCCCCAUAUGCUUAUCGAGUGUAUUUCCCUAGCUGUCAUAUAAUUGGAGAAAGGUUUCAAACUGAAGAAAAUACAAUACAAGGUUGCGGAGAAAAUAACGGAGAUAGUGUCUCAGAAGUGCUUCUGCACUCUCAUUUAUGACCAUCGCUCCUGGCCCCUUCCAAGGAGGGCCUUGGACGAACUUCAACACAAGCAUAUCGCUUAGACAGUACGGCGUGAUCGCGAACAAGGCGUGGUAGAUAAAGUAUCUCCAUGAUUCAUUCCUGAAACAAUAUUCGUAUUAAUUAAUUGGUGUCUGCUAAAUGCAAGCACUGAAACGCAUGGAUAGCUCCAGGCAGAUGAUAAACCCUACGUUGAGCUAAGAAUGCGACAACGUAAGCUGUUUCGAACUUGUGCAGCCGAAUAGUUUGGUCAACACAUUCAUUCCUGUGGUUAGGUUUCUGCUCGAAAUAAUCGGAGACUUUCAGAAACUUUAUCACAUAUUAGUUAGUUUGAGGUUAGAGCCGCGUCCAGAGCUCUUCGCACUCUGGGCAUACAAAGGAAUCUCUCUUUUUUUUUGGACCCUAGGCAGGUAUUUAUUUUGCCUAGGAAUAAACGCGGCCCUGAGUUCCAGCCUGAGGGCCGUGGCCCAAGCGGUGAGUCCAGCUUUCGUCCCGCUGUAAGUAGCCACUCCAGGAAUCGGUUGGAUCUUACAAUGGCUCGAGAUCACGAUAAUCCUGCUCGAGUGGAUACGGAUCAUCGGCAUCAAUUCUCGAGUGAUUCUGACAGCGCCGACUUUCUGAUAACCGGAUUUUUGUUUGGGGGAUCGAUUAUGACGAGUCCUUCAAAAGCCCGAAAUAUUAUCUUAUGAAGAUGGAACACGAUGGAAUUUUAAUGGAAUCGGGCUUAUGCCUGGGCAAAAUAGGCACACGUGACUAGUGCCUGAAAAAGCUAUAGACACUGCCCUGAAUGGAAAUCAAAAUAAUUUACCUAAGUUUUGUUCAUUUAAUAAUGAUCGCACAGAAUCCACAAAGUGUGAGAGGUCAAGAAAAUUCGUGACGUCUAAGGAAAAAACAUGUACACCCUUCUGUCCCAACUUCUUAGCCCCGGGACCAUCUUUUUCCAGCACACUGGCGAUCACAGUUGCCCCGAGCUGUCGACAGUGUAACGCCAGACUGUAUCCUAAUCCCGAAUCGCAGCCAAUUAUAAUAAUGGCAUGAUUCGGGGAUAUUUUGUCUCGAGAUUUGAUGCGACAGUACAAGUAACUUCCACCUGAAAUAAAAAAUCAUUAUUUUGUAUGCUUCAUUAACGCCAGCAAAACGUUCUAACGCCUGAUAACUGCCCAAAUAAUGGCACUGUACUUCGCUUAAAUCAAAGGUGGAAGGCUAGUACUAAUAAAAAGACUGGAUAUGUUUUUAUUUGACCAGUCCUUUACAAGUAUUUCAAAAACACCGCCGUAAAUAAAAAGUUUUUUAAAUUC